GUUAGUUUAGGUGACUUGGUAAACUUUGAGAUUAUAUUCUAGAAUGAUCAAACACCAGACCCCUGCAAAAAUAACCAACCAACCAACCAGACCUAGUUCUAAAGGAACAGUACUCUUUCUCAUUUUUUUGAUAUUUUAAGAAAUGAAUGCCUGUCUAAACCUGCUGACAGUGAGGACAAUUAGGGAAUUUGUUUCCUGGCUUGCAUACAAGAACCUAAGAGCCUUACGGAGCAAAUUAUGGAUCAGAGCAUCCCUGGUGGUCUAGUGGUUAAGAAAUUACCUGCCAAUGCAGAGGACACAGGUUUGAUCCCUGGUCCGGGACGAUUCCAAGCAACUAAAUCUAUGUGCUGCAGCUACAGAGCCCUCAAACCCUAGAACCCUUGCUCCGCAACCAAAGAAGCCACUGCAUUGAGAAGCCUGAGCUCCGCAACUGAGAGAAGUCUCUGCUUGUCACAACUAGAGAAAGCCUGCACGUAACAAUGAAGACCCAGCACAGCCAAAAUGAAUAAAUAAAGUAAUUGAUUUUUUUAAAAAA